GGGCCUAUAGCUCAGGUGGUUAGAGCGCACGCCUGAUAAGCGUGAGGUCAGUGGUUCAAUUCCACUUAGGCCCA
rnacentral:tRNA from 1 species